CGGCGAACCCACCUUCUUGCAGCACCUCCCAACGCCGGCAAAGCCCUUCCUCCCACCACUUGGCAACGCCGCCGAAGCCUUCCUUCUAGUGCCUCCUCACAGACAGCACCACCGAGCCCCAGCCAACACCACCCUCGCGGAGUUGCGGUCGUCGACACUACACCACUCAACUAUAACAUCAUCUAGUAGCCAGCAGUGUUCCACCCCUGGCGCCACCCACAGCAUCGUUUCUGGCCACCCGCAACACUGAGCCACCCAGCACAGCACCACCCAACAACGUUGCUGGCCACCCACAACACAGCACAGCACAACACUGACCACCGAGCCACCCAACCACCGAUUCAAGUCAGAUAUGGAGCCCGAGCCUCCGUGUCAGUUCAUCCUGAAAGUUGGAAUCCUAUGUGAUGUGUUUCAAGCAUACUCACAGGUAUUCUUUCAUUCAUGAUGGACAAUAGCCCAACCACUGGAACGUAAACACUACCACCACCGAGAAGCAACAUUUAGCAAAAUCUUCGCUUUCUUUUGAUUGCAAGAAGUAGGCCUAUUGCAUCAUCUUUUCACAAGUUACCAUAGAAUUUAGCAAGGCCUCUAUAAUUUGUCUCUCAUUUUCACCAUUGG